rnacentral:rRNA from 1 species
UUAGUGGCGGACGGGCGAGUAACGCGUGAGUAACCUGCCUCUUAGAGGGGGAUAACGUUCUGAAAAGGACGCUAAUACCGCAUAUUAUUAUUAAGUCGCAUGACUUGAUAAUGAAAGGAGCAAUCCGCUAAGAGAUGGACUCGCGUCUGAUUAGCUAGAUGGUGGGGUAACGGCUCACCAUGGCGACGAUCAGUAGCCGGACUGAGAGGUUGAACGGCCACAUUGGGACUGAGACACGGCCCAGACUCCUACGGGAGGCAGCAGUGGGGGAUAUUACGCAAUGGGGGAAACCCUGACGUAGCAAUGCCGCGUGAAGGAUGAAGGUUUUCGGAUUGUAAACUUCUUUUGUUAAGGACGAUAAUGACGGUACUUAACGAAUAAGCUCCGGCUAACUAUGUGCCAGCAGCCGCGGUAAUACAUAGGGAGCAAGCGUUAUCCGGAUUUACUGGGUGUAAAGGGUGCGUAGGCGGCAAGGCAAGUCAGAUGUGAAAUCUAUGGGUUUAACCCAUAGCCUGCAUUUGAAACUGUUUUGCUUGAGUGAAGUAGAGGCAGGCGGAAUUCCCGGUGUAGCGGUGAAAUGCGUAGAGAUCGGGAGGAACACCAGUGGCGAAGGCGGCCUGCUGGGCUUUAACUGACGCUGAGGCACGAAAGCGUGGGUAGCAAACAGGAUUAGAUACCCUGGUAGUCCACGCUGUAAACGAUGUUUCUUAGGGGGGGGGUGGACUACCCCCCUCCCUCCCCCCAGUUAACACAAUAAGUAAUCCACCUGGGGAGUACGACCGCAAGGUUGAAACUCAAAGGGAAUUGACGGGGGCCCGCACAAGGCAGUGGAGUAUGUGGUUUAAUUCGAAGCAACGCGAAGAACCUUACCAGGUCUUGACAUCCAACUAACGAAGUAGAGAUGCAUUAGGUGCCCUUCGGGGAAAGUAGAGACAGGUGGUGCAUGGUUGUCGUCAGCUCGUGUCGUGAGAUGUUGGGUUAAGUCCCGCAACGAGCGCAACCCUUAUUGUUAGUUGCUACGCAAGAGCACUCUAGCGAGGCUGCCGUUGACAAAACGGAGGAAGGCGGGGACGACGUCAAAUCAUCAUGCCCCUUAUGUCCCGGGCUACACACGUAAUACAAUGGCGGUCAACAGAGGGAAGCAAAGCCGCGAGGCAGAGCAAACCCCUAAAAGCCGUCCCAGUUCGGAUUGCAGGCUGCAACUCGCCUGCAUGAAGUUGGAAUUGCUAGUAAUCGCGGAUCAGCAUGCCGCGGUGAA